AGGGAAAAGGAGAAAAGAAGGAAUGAGAUUUAUGACCCGCUGGAUCCCAGCUUUUAUGUCACAAAACCAUUCCCAAUACUGGAAGUUCGUGACACCCUGAGAAACAGCCCUGGAACUCAGAGCAGUGAUCUGCAUGCAAAGGCAAAAUUAAAUAGUCCAGCAACUGCUUUGACCGAGAGACGCACAUAGUACUAUUCUGGGUCCUGAGUGCUGCUUCCGUUUCAUUUCUCCCCUAGGCGCAGAUUCCAGUGGCUCACAGAGUGAUGAGCUAGACCACCCAGGACCACUUAUGUUAUACUGAGGGUGGAUGAUGAUAGUGCUUAUAAAGGAAUUAUUUCAACAAUGGGACUUUUCCAUUACUCUUUCUGCUAUCACCCUCUACACUGAGAAUGUGGAAACCUUGGCACCUCUCGCCAAAGAAUACUAAACUCAUGGGUGUUGCUCAGAGAGUCCUGUCCUGGUUCCAGAACACUGUGAUAAUAACUGAAGAUCUUUAAAAAUCAUUAGUGCCUAAUCAUAUGGUCUAUCGAUCAUGAGAUUAAUCGCCUGCCCAAAGAGGCAGCAGGUCUUGUGGAAUGCUGCACUGCACCAGACUGAACUUCAACCUUUUAUACAAACUGGAGGAGUCAAAAUCAUCAUUCAUUGUCUGAAGCCCCUGCACCCUGGGCCUCCUGGACCCCAGGAGGAUUCAUUUCAUAGGGUUCUAUGCAUCAGUCAAGAAAAUAGCUACAGAGGAAUUACCAAGACUGGUAAUAAAGGUAAUUUAACCUAGUUUAAUAUUUUUUUAAAAGCAAAACACAAUAAGCGUUUUUUACCUGGUGAGAGUUACCUUCUUAAUUAGUCCAUGUUGGAAAACAAAUCAAAAAGACACUUAGCAGUAGUUUUCAGAGAGUGAGAGAAAAAAGAGGGAAGAGAAAGCAUUGAUCUUGGAAUUAGAUGACCUGGUUUCUAGGCCUAUCUACCCCAAUGCUUUUCAAACUUUAAUGUGCAUAACGAAUCAAC